GCCCAGAUAGCUCAGUUGGUAGAGCAGUGGACUGAAAAUCCUCGUGCGGCUGGUUCGAUUCCGGCUCUGGGCACCA
rnacentral:tRNA from 1 species